UAAAACCAAACAAAUCAAAUAUAUAAAUACUGUAUAAAAUGGACGUAUA
rnacentral:guide_RNA from 1 species